rnacentral:lncRNA from 1 species
UUCCAAUCCGGCCUAGGAGGCCGGAUUGAAAGGUGAAUCCGAACGGAAUGGAUAUUUAUUCGGAUUAAAUUUAUUUUUUCAACUUUUUUUAAUUAAAAUAUGAGUUUAAAUUUAGAAAUUAAAUUUAUAAUUUAUAAUUUUAAUUUAAAUUUGAAUUAAAAAUUAAAAUUUAAUCAAGUAUUUUGAAUCUAAUUUAUAAAUUUGAAUUUAAAUUAAAUUUUAAUUUAUAUAAAGUUUUAUUCAAAUUUUUUUUAAAACUUAAACUAAAUUUAUGGAUUCAAAUUAAAAUUUAAAUUGUAAUUUUAAGUUUGAAUUUGAAUAAAUCGAAAUUUAGUUUUAUAUUUUGAAUUAUCCACUCAACUUCAAAGUUUAAUUUUUUUUAAAAAAAAUUAAUUUAAAAUUUUGACAUUAUUUCAAAAUUGUGAUGUAAAUUUUUAAUAUUUAAUUUUCAAUUUGAAUUUAAGUUAAUUUAUUAUAAAGAUAAAGUUAGUAUGUUAAUUUGAUUACGUUUUUUAUAUCUACCUGAACCAAACACCGACAAUGGAAAUGAUUUAUUCCGAUUCUGAUUCAGGUAGUGAACCAAACAGAAGUCGGUUUUCAAAGAGAAGUUUUCGAGUGGGAAACAAUUUUAAAAGGUUUCGAAUAAUUUUUAUGAAUGAUUAAAUAGAAUUUAAAAUAAAGCUUUCAGGUGGAGAGCACUUUUACUUAGGAUGAUUGUUGUAUUGUACAUUACAUCACCCAGUGCCUAAGGAGUGUUUAGAGGCAUACAUCAUUCCUAAAGAUCAUUAGCUAUAUGGAAAUGCAUCGCAUGAAUUGU